rnacentral:rRNA from 1 species
AUUGAACGCUGGCGGCAUGCCUUACACAUGCAAGUCGAACGGCAGCACGGGUGCUUGCACCUGGUGGCGAGUGGCGAACGGGUGAGUAAUACAUCGGAACAUGUCCUGUAGUGGGGGAUAGCCCGGCGAAAGCCGGAUUAAUACCGCAUACGAUCUACGGAUGAAAGCGGGGGAUCUUCGGACCUCGCGCUAUAGGGUUGGCCGAUGGCUGAUUAGCUAGUUGGUGGGGUAAAGGCCUACCAAGGCGACGAUCAGUAGCUGGUCUGAGAGGACGACCAGCCACACUGGGACUGAGACACGGCCCAGACUCCUACGGGAGGCAGCAGUGGGGAAUUUUGGACAAAGGGCGAAAGCCUGAUCCAGCAAUGCCGCGUGUGUGAAGAAGGCCUUCGGGUUGUAAAGCACUUUUGUCCGGAAAGAAAUCCUUGGCUCUAAUACAGUCGGGGGAUGACGGUACCGGAAGAAUAAGCACCGGCUAACUACGUG